rnacentral:rRNA from 1 species
GAACUGUGAGACAGGUGCUGCAUGGCUGUCGUCAGCUCGUGUUGUGAAAUGUUGGGUUAAGUCCCGCAACGAGCGCAACCCUUAUCCUUUGUUGCCAGCGGUUCGGCCGGGAACUCAAAGGAGACUGCCAGUGAUAAACUGGAGGAAGGUGGGGAUGACGUCAAGUCAUCAUGGCCCUUACGACCAGGGCUACACACGUGCUACAA